rnacentral:sRNA from 1 species
GCAAGGUAGAUUCGCGGGUCGACCGCGCCG